GUGUGUACAUCUCUUCUCCCAUUUCUUUGUCCACCGCGGAGGAGAAAACAGAUCGAGCCUGCCCUCGCGUGACCGGAGCACCGACAGCCCGUGCAUGGCCAAUGAUAGGAAGGGGAUCCUCCAGGUCUGAUUCGAGCUGCGGUUGUAUCGCCGCCCACCAGCCAGGGCGCAUCUCGCCGUCGCUGAGCUGGAAAGGCGGAGGGUGGUCGCCGGCGAGGCCACUGGUGCCGGUACAGAUAGGUGAUUUUCUUCAUAUUUUAAUUCCUUGGGGAGGUGGAUUUGAUCCUUGGGAGACGCAUGAGGCUGGAUGAGUGCGUGGAUCAAACUUUCACUGCUUGAGGCUCGCUGCAGUGGCCGAGGUUCUGGAUGUUGGUGUCUGCUGGCCGCUGCUUAGUUGCUACCCUCAUUUUUUGUGUUGUCGAACUCCUACCAUUAGUAAGUACUCCAAAAUUCCCAGCUUGAAUUCAGAAUUAGUUUUUUAAAAUUUUACUGCUAAGCGAUACUCACAUUACAACUUUCCGUGUGGAAAAGGGCAUUUGUACUUAGAGAACAGACUAAAGCGAACAUAUGGAUCCGCCUAAUUAGGUUGAUCUCAACCUAGCAAGGGUUUUUUGCAUCUAAUUUUUCUUUGACCAAAAAAAGAGGUUUACAUUUACAUUCACAUUUGCUGAGCUAGGUAGCAAAAGAAUCAGCCUGAAGUGAGACAUGCAUAACGCCGGCAAUGCUAUAUUGGCGAACAUACAAAUGCAAGGCAUCUGAAGUAGCUACACCCAUGUUCUCUUAUCUUGCUUCUGGAAUCUUAUUGACUAAUGCUAGAGUUUAAAAGUUCUGAUUCAAUGUUCGUGCCACUUCUACAAAUUUUGUAGGGCAGUACACCAAUCGUUUUGUACACUUUUUUCUUCUGAAUUAGAACAACCUUUUGCACCCCAGAGGAACCAAUCUUGUUGUCUAAUGGUAGAUUAUUGCUUAUAAUUCAUCCGUAGCACUAUGAAGUGUUUGUUUCUUUUAUUUGUUGUUACCCCGUCCUAGCAAGAAGGCCUUCAUUUAUUAAUGGUAAUCUGGUUCAUAUGUCACAUACAAUUGGUUGGAUUUCUACAUGUGUUGUAGGUGGUGCCUAUGACAUUGAAGAUUUGUUUGUUUUUGUUAAAGUAUCAUUCAAGUACAACAUCUGAAGCCUAUCAUCAUGCACAACUUACUGCAUAGUUUCAUGUGACGAAGAUGAAUCAAAACAUAAGACUUGUUCCACAUAUUUGAUCUAUAAUCGCUGGGUUUCCUGAGAUCAAUUAGCGGUGAGGGAUUUCACGGAGCAUGGACCACCGGUUGGUGAAUUUCUGGGACGAAAUCACUUUACUGGGUCUAAGCUUGUUGGUGGAAGGGCAUCAAUUCUAGGGCAGCAUAUAUCACAAAGCAGUGGUUGGCCAAGGCAGGCUAAUGGAGAACGGUUGCAUCUGAAGCACACGGGAGAGGGUGGAACAGCGGCUAUGGUCCAAGAGAGGUAUGGGGUAACGGCGACAUAUUCGUAUAAGGAGAUCGCGGGGCAAAUAAUAUAGCAGCAAGAUGAGCAGCGCCUGAGGGCGGCCACUGUUGUUACCCUCCUCAUUGUUGUUGCUGCCGGAAUCCUAUCAAAUAAGCCACGAAAUUGAGGUAUGUAGAAGAUGAACAAACCUGAGAAUUGAUGAUCGAAUGAAGAGUCGGAGCUCGAGCAUCACAUAGCCGUCAGCUAUGGUGGCUUGUGGGAGGAUGUUUCUCAGACCUAAGUUGUUGCCGCUGGACCGUGGCUACAUUCAUCAUAGCUUGGAGGAAAUGGUGCGGGAAGAUAUGCAUGUGCAGGGCGAAGAAGUGGACGAAGGCCAAAGUAGCAAUCUCUGCCUCCCUAUCGCUGCGUCCUGCUCCUCAAUAUGUCACCUUAGUCAUGGCCGCCUUAUCCCUCAUGCUGCUGAUUUGAAUCUGCCCUACUCUUCUUCUCCUAGACUGCUCGAGCGCUUCAGCGGGUGCCUUGCCGACGACAGGGAAGGAAGGACCAGAAAGCCACGAAAUUGAGGUACGCAGAAGAUGAACAAACCUGAGAACUGAUGAACCAAAGAAGAGUCGGAGCUCGAGCAUCACAUAGCUGUCAGCUAUGGUGGCUUGUAGGCGGAUGUGUCUCACACCUAAGUUUUUGCCGCUGGACCGUGGUUACAUUCAUCCUAGCUUGGAGGCAACGGUGUGGGUGGGUAUGCAUGUGCAAGGCGAAGAAGUGGACGAAGGCCAAAGAAGCAAUCUCUGCCUCCCUAUCGCUGCGUCCUGCUCCUCAAUAUGUCACCUUAGUCAUGGCCGCCUUAUCCCUCAUGCUGCUGAUUUGAAUCUGCCCUACUCUUCUUCUCCUAGACUGCUCGAGCGCUUCAGCGGGUGCCUUGCCGACGACGGGGAAGGAAGGACCAGAAAGCCACGAAAUUGAGGUACGCAGAAGAUGAACAAACCUGAGAAGUGAUGAUCGAAUGAAGAGUCGGAGCUCGAGCAUCACAUAGUCGUCAGCUAUGGUGGCUUGUGGGCGGAUGUUUCUCAGACCUAAGUUGUUGCCGCUGGACCGUGGUUACAUUCAUCCUAGCUUGGAGGAAACGGUGUGGGUGGGUAUGCAUGUGCAGGGCGAAGAAGUGGACGAAGGCCGAAGAAGCAAUCUCUGCCUCCCUAUCGCUGCGUCCUGCUCCUCAAUAUGUCACCUUAGUCAUGGCCGCCUUAUCCCUCAUGCUGCUGAUUUGAAUCUGCCCUACUCUUCUUCUCCUAGACUGCUCGAGCGCUUCAGCGGGUGCCUUGCCGACGACAGGGAAGGAAGGACCAGAAAGCCACGAAAUUGAGGUACGCAGAAGAUGAACAAACCUGAGAAUUGAUGAUCGAAUGAAGAGUCGGAGCUCGAGCAUCACAUAGUCGUCAGCUAUGGUGGCUUGUGGGCGGAUGUUUCUCAGACCUAAGUUGUUGCCGCUGGACCGUGGUUACAUUCAUCCUAGCUUGGAGGAAACGGUGUGGGUGGGUAUGCAUGUGCAGGGCGAAGAAGUGGACGAAGGCCGAAGAAGCAAUCUCUGCCUCCCUAUUGCUGCGUCCUGCUCCUCAAUAUGUCACCUUAGUCAUGGCCGCCUUAUCCCUCAUGCUGCUGAUUUGAAUCUGCCCUACUCUUCUUCUCCUAGACUGCUCGAGCGCUUCAGCGGGUGCCUUGCCGACGACAGGGAAGGAAGGACCAGAAAGCCACGAAAUUGAGGUAUGUAGAAGAUAAACAAACCUGAGAAUUGAUGAUCGAAUGAAGAGUCGGAGCUCGAGCAUCACAUAGCCGUCAGCUAUGGUGGCCUGUGGGCGGAUGUUUCUCAGACCUAAGUUGUUGCCGCUGGACCGUGGCUACAUUCAUCCUAGCUUGGAGGAAAUGGUGCGGGAAGAUAUGCAUGUGCAGGGCGAAGAAGUGGACGAAGGCCGAAGUAGCAAUCUCUGCCUCCCUAUCGCUGCGUCCUGCUCCUCAAUAUGUCACCUUAGUCAUGGCCGCCUUAUCCCUCAUGCUGCUGAUUUGAAUCUGCCCUACUCUUCUUCUCCUAGACUGCUCGAGCGCUUCAGCGGGUGCCUUGCCGACGACAGGGAAGGAAGGACCAGAAAGCCACGAAAUUGAGGUACGCAGAAGAUGAACUAACCUGAGAACUGAUGAACCAAAGAAGAGUCGGAGGUCGAGCAUCACAUAGCUGUCAGCUAUGGUGGCUUGUAGGCGGAUGUGUCUCACACCUAAGUUUUUGCCGCUGGACCGUGGUUACAUUCAUCCUAGCUUGGAGGCAACGGUGUGGGUGGGUAUGCAUGUGCAAGGCGAAGAAGUGGACGAAGGCCAAAGAAGCAAUCUCUGCCUCCCUAUCGCUGCGUCCUGCUCCUCAAUAUGUCACCUUAGUCAUGGCCGCCUUAUCCCUCAUGCUGCUGAUUUGAAUCUGCCCUACUCUUCUUCUCCUAGACUGCUCGAGCGCUUCAGCGGGUGCCUUGCCGACGACAGGGAAGGAAGGACCAGAAAGCCACGAAAUUGAGGUACGCAGAAGAUGAACAAACCUGAGAACUGAUGAUCCAAAGAAGAGUCGGAGCUCGAGCAUCACAUAGCUGUCAGCUAUGGUGGCUUGUAGGCGGAUGUGUUUCACACCUAAGUUUUUGCCGCUGGACCAUGGUUACGUUCAUCCUAGCUUGGAGGCAACGGUGUGGGUGGGUAUGCAUGUGCAAGGCGAAGAAGUGGACGAAGGCCGAAGAAGCAAUCUCUGCCUCCCUAUCGCUGCGUCCUGCUCCUCAAUAUGUCACCUUAGUCAUGGCCGCCUUAUCCCUCAUGCUGCUGAUUUGAAUCUGCCCUACUCUUCUUCUCCUAGACUGCUCGAGCGCUUCAGCGGGUGCCUUGCGGACGACAGGGAAGGAAGGACCAGAAAGCCACGAAAUUGAGGUACGCAGAAGAUGAACAAACCUGAGAACUGAUGAUCCAAAGAAGAGUCGGAGCUCGAGCAUCACAUAGCUGUCAGCUAUGGUGGCUUGUAGGCGGAUGUGUCUCACACCUAAGUUUUUGCCGCUGGACCGUGGUUACGUUCAUCCUAGCUUGGAGGCAACGGUGUGGGUGGGUAUGCAUGUGCAAGGCGAAGAAGUGGACGACGGCCGAAGAAGCAAUCUCUGCCUCCCUAUCGCUGCGUCCUGCUCCUCAAUAUGUCACCUUAGUCAUGGCCGCCUUAUCCCUCAUGCUGCUGAUUUGAAUCUGCCCUACUCUUCUUCUCCUAGACUGCUCGAGCGCUUCAGCGGGUGCCUUGCCGACGACAGGGAAGGAAGGACCAGAAAGCCACGAAAUUGAGGUACGCAGAAGAUGAACAAACCUGAGAACUGAUGAUCCAAAGAAGAGUCGGAGCUCGAGCAUCACAUAGCUGUCAGCUACGGUGGAUUGUAGGCGGAUGUGUCUCAGACCUAUGUUUUUGCCGCUGGACCGUGGUUACGUUCAUCCUAGCUUGGAGGCAACGGUGUGGGUGGGUAUGCAUGUGCAAGGCGAAGAAGUGGACGAAGGCUGAAGAAGCAAUCUCUGCCUCCCUAUCGCUGCGUCCUGCUCCUCAAUAUGUCACCUUAGUCAUGGCCGCCUUAUCCCUCAUGCUGCUGAUUUGAAUCUGCCCUAAUCUUCUUCUCCUAGACUGCUCGAGCGCUUCAGCGGGUGCCUUGCCGACGACAGGGAAGGAAGGACCAGAAAGCCACGAAAUUGAGGUACGCAGAAGAUGAACAAACCUGAGAACUGAUGAUCCAAAGAAGAGUCGGAGCUCGAGCAUCACAUAGCUGUCAGCUAUGGUGGCUUGUAGGCGGAUGUGUCUCACACCUAAGUUUUUGCCGCUGGACCGUGGUUACGUUCAUCCUAGCUUGGAGGCAACGGUGUGGGUGGGUAUGCAUGUGCAAGGCGAAGAAGUGGACGAAGGCCGAAGAAGCAAUCUCUGCCUCCCUAUCGCUGCGUCCUGCUCCUCAAUAUGUCACCUUAGUCAUGGCCGCCUUAUCCCUCAUGCUGCUGAUUUGAAUCUGCCCUACUCUUCUUCUCCUAGACUGCUCGAGCGCUUCAGCGGGUGCCUUGCCGACGACAGGGAAGGAAGGACCAGAAAGCCACGAAAUUGAGGUACGCAGAAGAUGAACAAACCUGAGAACUGAUGAUCCAAAGAAGAGUCGGAGCUCGAGCAUCACAUAGCUGUCAGCUACGGUGGAUUGUAGGCGGAUGUGUCUCAGACCUAUGUUUUUGCCGCUGGACCGUGGUUACGUUCAUCCUAGCUUGGAGGCAACGGUGUGGGUGGGUAUGCAUGUGCAAGGCGAAGAAGUGGACGAAGGCUGAAGAAGCAAUCUCUGCCUCCCUAUCGCUGCGUCCUGCUCCUCAAUAUGUCACCUUAGUCAUGGCCGCCUUAUCCCUCAUGCUGCUGAUUUGAAUCUGCCCUAAUCUUCUUCUCCUAGACUGCUCGAGCGCUUCAGCGGGUGCCUUGCCGACGACAGGGAAGGAAGGACCAGAAAGCCACGAAAUUGAGGUACGCAGAAGAUGAACAAACCUGAGAACUGAUGAUCCAAAGAAGAGUCGGAGCUCGAGCAUCACAUAGUCGUCAGCUAUGGUGGCUUGUAGGCGGAUGUGUCUCACACCUAAGUUUUUGCCGCUGGACCGUGGUUACGUUCAUCCUAGCUUGGAGGCAACGGUGUGGGUGGGUAUGCAUGUGCAGGGCGAAGAAGUGGACGAAGGCCGAAGAAGCAAUCUCUGCCUCCCUAUCGCUGCGUCCUGCUCCUCAAUAUGUCACCUUAGUCAUGGCCGCCUUAUCCCUCAUGCUGCUGAUUUGAAUCUGCCCUACUCUUCUUCUCCUAGACUGCUCGAGCGCUUCAGCGGGUGCCUUGCCGACGACAGGGAAGGAAGGACCAGACCAAGAAAUUGAGGGACGCAGAAGAUGAACAAACCUGAGAAUUGAUGAUCGAAUGAAGAGUCGGAGCUCGAGCAUCACAUAGCCGUCAGCUAUGGUGGCUUGUGGGCGGAUGUUUCUCAGACCUAAGUUGUUGCCGCUGGACCGUGGUUACAUUCAUCCUAGCUUGGAGGAAACGGUGCGGGAAGAUAUGCAUGUGCAGGGCGAAGAAGUGGACGAAGGCCGAAGUAGCAAUCUCUGCCUCCCUAUCGCUGCGUCCUUCUCCUCAAUAUGUCACCUUAGUCAUGGCCGCCUUAUCCCUCAUGCUGCUGAUUUGAAUCUGCCCUACUCUUCUUCUCCUAGACUGCUCGAGCGCUUCAGCGGGUGCCUUCCCAACGACAGGGAAGGAAGGACCAGAAAGCCAAGAAAUUGAGGUACGCAGAAGAUGAACAAACCUGAGAACUGAUGAUCGAAUGAAGAGUCGGAGCUCGAGCAUCACAUAGCCGUCAGCUAUGGUGGCUUGUGGGCGGAUGUUUCUCAGACCUAAGUUGUUGUCGCUGGACCGUGGUUACAUUCAUCCUAGCUUGGAGGCAACGGUGUGGGUGGGUAUGCAUGUGCAGGGCGAAGAAGUGGACGAAGGCCGAAGAAGCAAUCUCUGCCUCCCUAUCGCUGCGUCCUGCUCCUCAAUAUGUCACCUUAGUCAUGGCCGCCUUAUCCCUCAUGCUGCUGAUUUGAAUCUGCCCUACUCUUCUUCUCCUAGACUGCUCGAGCGCUUCAGCGGGUGCCUUGCCGACGACAGGGAAGGAAGGACCAGACCAAGAAAUUGAGGUACGCAGAAGAUGAACAAACCUGAGAACUGAUGAUCCAAAGAAGAGUCGGAGCUCGAGCAUCACAUAGCCGUCAGCUAUGGUGGCUUGUAGGCGGAUGUGUCUCAGACCUAAGUUUUUGCCGCUGGACCGUGGUUACGUUCAUCCUAGCUUGGAGGCAAUGGUGCGGGUGGGUAUGCAUGUGCAGGGCGAAGAAGUGGACGAAGGCCGAAGUAGCAAUCUCUGCCUCCCUAUCGCUGCGUCCUGCUCCUCAAUAUGUCACCUUAGUCAUGGCCGCCUUAUCCCUCAUGCUGCUGAUUUGAAUCUGCCCUACUCUUCUUCUCCUAGACUGCUCGAGCGCUUCAGCGGGUGCCUUCCCAACGACAGGGAAGGAAGGACCAGAAAGCCACGAAAUUGAGGUACGCAGAAGAUGAACAAACCUGAGAACUGAUGAUCCAAAGAAGAGUCGGAGCUCGAGCAUCACAUAGCUGUCAGCUAUGGUGGCUUGUAGGCGGAUGUGUCUCAGACCUAAGUUUUUGCCGCUGGACCGUGGUUACGUUCAUCCUAGCUUGGAGGCAACGGUGUGGGUGGGUAUGCAUGUGCAAGGCGAAGAAGUGGACGAAGGCCGAAGAAGCAAUCUCUGCCUCCCUAUCGCUGCGUCCUGCUCCUCAAUAUGUCACCUUAGUCAUGGCCGCCUUAUCCCUCAUGCUGCUGAUUUGAACCUACCCUACUCUUCUUCUCCUAGACUGCUCGAGCGCUUCAGCGGUGCCUCGCUGACGACAGGGAAGGAAGGAUCAGAAGUGACGGCUAUAGCCCUAGGAAUUUGGAAACCAUAGGAAUUGAUCUUCUUUAUAAAACGUGUGUGGCAAGGGACGUGGAACCUGCUUCAGGGAAGACGAGAUGGAUCAUGUGAGAGAAGGGACCAGUUUUUUUUGCCAAUUGCCUAGUCCAUAUUGUCCAUGUAUUCGAAGCAUGCAAACGUGUGGCUCCUGGAGUUUGUAUUGCUCUUGGAUAUGUGUAAGCGUUUGGUUUUUUAUUUUUCCCUUUUUUGCUUUCCAAUUCGGACAUGCAUCAGUUCGUACCUGAUUGUAUUAGACUCAAACAAUACGUGUCCAAGUUUUAUUGCUCUUGGAU